UUGGGGAUAUAGAUCAGUUGGUAGAGUACUUGCCUUGCAUGCACAAGUUCCUGGGUUUAAUCCCCAGCACCAAA
rnacentral:tRNA from 1 species